rnacentral:lncRNA from 1 species
UAUUCGGUUCCAACCAGAAAGUGUCUGACACUAAUGGGGCGAUAGCUCAAGCCAGGGAAUCAAAGUCAAAUCACGAUCCGAACUCAAAUGAGAGACUGAACCACAUGAUUAAGAAUCAUGUAUAAUGGUGACGUUGUUAUUCUCAAGGUUGCUUCUAUGGAUAACAUAUAGAUAUCCAUUGUCUAGGCCUACUACUCAGCCAUUUAUGAAAUGACUACAGAAGAGGUAUCAUCACUGAUGACCAAGCUGAUUGGCUCUAAUGCAAGUGGGAGAUUGUUGGAAAUGUGCCCUAAAACCAAUCAUAUGAUGAUACUUUACGGACAUUUCACAUGUUAAACUAAUCUAGUUUAAUAUCAAGGGCAAAGAUUAUUGUUUGAGCCGUCUCAUAUAAAUGUUAUACGCUUAAACAAUAAGUCCAAGAAAUAUGUGAUUGGGAGAAUGCGAUCUAAAGAAGUUAGAUUCAUGAGACCAUUCUUUCGUAGACACAUCCUAAACGUUCCUGAUCAUAGGAUUGCCAAUUGGGCAUUGACAGUCCAUUAAGAUCAGUACGUGUUGUGUCUUCUCUCAAGGAGAGUGACUAGUCUCGAGUCAUUGGUGUGUGUGACAUCAAGACAAGUAUGUAGGUGCUCAAUAGAGAAUGAGUUCACUGAACACAAUCAACGAAGAGUUCUCAUAUUCAUGUCACAUGAGAACUCAUGGUUGGGAUAAUGCAAAGUAGUCCUUUGACCUGAGGCAUCAUAGUUGUCUUGUGGUUUGGUACUUGAUCUUUGAUUAUGUCAAAGUCACCCCAUCCACGGGUGUCCACGACAUCGUCGGGGUUAAGCCACUUAGCCAUGGAGGCAAGUGAAUGCGCAACAAGGGAUCUCUAACCUUCAAAUUGUUUGGGGGGAGAAUACUCUAUGAUAUGAUUAAGAAUCUCUGGCCAGAGUAUGAAUGAGAUUUAGGAAGUCGUUCCAAAUCACAUUCAAGGUAAUCAUAUAAGCACACGAAUCACAUUGGAUAGUAGACAUGAAUAAACUAUCAAACCAAACAAUGUGGUCAAGAGGAUUGUAUUAGAGAAAGACCGUAUUGCAUUUGUAAUCCUAAACUGAAUAGGUUCUC